GUCAUAGAACUGUUCAUUUGCUUCUAAACAACAUGGCUAGUAAUUAACAGUGAUCGUGUUUUCUCCUGGGUCUGCUGAACCCCAGAGUGUCUCAAGGGAGCUAUUGAUCCACGCCAUUUGAAUAACACGUAUUUAUACGCCGAAGUAUGGAAGGCAGAGGACACUAGCUGCGGGCCAUACAUCAUCGUUAGGGAGCAAAAAGCAGUGGCAUGUCUUUAUUCCAAAGAAGAACUGGAACGGUGUUUGUGUGUAUGUGUCUACUUCAGAGUCUAUUUGUCUACCGGACUUAAAAGGUUUGGGAUGCUGGUUAUGUCUUCUGCACCGGUGUGUGCGAGUUUAGCAGGUUUCCAGUCUGGUGACUGGACGUAAAGCUCUGAAUGCAGACUCAGCCUCCUGUCAGCCAUUGUAUUGGCUGAAGACUCUUCCUCACUAUCCAGCUGCCGGUCCCUUCUGUUCCCCUCCUCCUCUGAGCUGAGCCCAUCCCCCUCUCCACCCCUCCUCCUCUCCCUCACUCCAUAUAUUCAUCUCCCCACCACUAAAAAAGGAAUUGUGCCUCUCUCUUUACAAUUUUAUCCUACUUGAGCUGAGAUUGCUGGUAAAGAGAGAUAGAAUAGGGACUUAUGGAAAUUCAGAAAUUACUGUAAGAUCAGCAAGAAAAAGUUCACAUCAUAUCUCUAAAACAUUUUAAAAUUCUUUAUAUAACCAUGAAUGCGCUUCAUGCAUCUGCAAAUCAGGUGUUACAGAAUUCUAAAAGAGAAGCUGUAUGGAAAGUGUGAGCUCUAGCAAGGAAUAUCUUUUAGUUUUGCUGUCUUUGUCUCCUAUAGCAGUCCCUUAUAUAAGAAUUUUGUAUGUCAGCAUAGCUUGUUGUUAAAGAUCCAUUCUAUUUUGAGAGAACGGGAUGCAAGCAGAUGAGUGAGCGAGAGAGGAAGAGACAGAGAGGGAAAUACGGAAAGAAGAAAAGAGAAGAAAGGGCUUAGCAAAAGCUCACUUUCAUUCAGCCUGACUUUAAACCGCUAUCCAGGGUUCUGCCAAAAUGAGGCAGGACUCGUGUCCUUCUGAGUGAAGGAGAGCUCACGUCCCCAUUCACAGCUUUUUGCUGCAGUGCUAAAAUUACAACAACACAAUAGCAAGGUUCUCUUCAAUGGCAGGCACAGUGAAGAAAAAAAAACUGUAAGUAUUUGUGAUUUGACAGCCAUAUGUUUUGAGUGUAGUGUUCAUAUUAUAUGGGUUAAGGCCAGUGCUGAUUCCUAGACCACAGUCGCUGAUAAUGCAGUUUAAUAAAGGCAAAUGUGAUGUUUACAAAAUUGCAGUUAGUUGAAGAUGUCCAGGUGCACAGAUGCCUGGAUUUGUAAAAAUCUAUUCAUAUUAUUUAUUUAUUUUUUAAUUUUAUAUGAUUUCAUAUAUAUUAUAUAUAUUCACUUUUUUAACAAUAUAUACACUA